CCUGGACUCCUCAGGCGGAUGUCAAUCACCUUGUCCAGAACCUGCAAUACAUACCAGCAAGGUCCAGCCUCUGCAUUUUUUAUAACUUCUUGAGAUGACAUCUGAAACUACUCAGGUUGCAGUGGAACAGCUUAGACUAAAACACAGUCAGUGUGUGCCAGAACACUGUGGUAGACUGGUCAAGAACAAUAAAAUCAACAUUUUCAAG